rnacentral:rRNA from 1 species
AGCAGCCGCGGUAAUUCCAGCUCCAAUAGCGUAUAUUAAAGCUGUUGCAGUUAAAAAGCUCGUAGUUGAAUUUCGGGAUUCUACCGUUGGUCGGGCUAACAAGUCUGUACUGGUGUGUAGAAUUUCUACCUUCUGGGGAACUAUCAUGUUAUUAAUUUAGCGUGGUGGGAAACCAGGACCUUUACCUUGAAAAAAUUAGAGUGUUCAAAGCAGGCUUAUGUCUGAACACAUUAGCAUGGAAUAAUAGAAUAGGACGGUAGGUCCUGUUUUGUUGGUUUCUGAAUCACCGUAAUGAUUAAUAGGGAUAGUUGGGGGCAUCAGUAUUCAAUUGUCAGAGGUGAAAUUCUUGGAUUUAUUGAAGUACUAACUUCUGCGAAAGCAAUUUGCCAAGGUAUGUUUUCAUUAAUCAAGAACGAAAGUUAGGGGAUCGAAGACGAUCAGAUACCGUCGUAGUCUUAACCAUAAACUAUAGCCGACUAGGGAUCGGACGAUGUUAAAUUUUAUGACUCGUUCGCGUCCU